GCAACAGCAACUUCAACAACAAAACCAGCAAUCAUUUCUACCUGCAGCUUUCCUUUGAUCUUUGAAACCUACUUUUAGAAACUAUACUGUUUUCUCCGCCAAACCUCGUGCUAGCUAACUUCAACACUAGUCUUGAAUCAUGCAGAACUUGUUUCGCAUAGCUGAUCAUGAAGAUUUCUUCUCCCGUCCAUGCAUUUGGGUUAAUGGUCCAGUGAUAGUAGGUGCCGGACCAUCAGGGCUCGCAACGGCAGCUUGCCUUAGAAAGCAGGGUGUACCCUUCGUUGUCCUCGACAGAGAAGAAUGUAUAGCCUCUCUGUGGCAAAAACGCACAUAUGACAGGCUUAAACUUCACUUACCUAAACAAUUCUGCCAGCUCCCUAAACUCCCAUUCCCUGAGGAUUUCCCUGAGUACCCUACCAAGAAACAGUUUAUUGAGUACCUCGAGUCAUAUGCCAAGCACUUCGAGAUCAACCCAAGAUUCAAUGAGUGUGUACAAUCAGCUAGGUACGAUGAGACCAGUGGCUUGUGGAGGGUCAAGACCGUUUCCACAAAUGGCUCCACUCGUACUGAGGUUGAGUACAUUUGCCGGUGGCUAGUGGUGGCUACCGGCGAGAAUGCAGAGUGUGUAAUGCCUGAUAUUGAAGGAUUGAACGAGUUCGGAGGUGAUGUUACUCAUGCUUGUUCUUAUAAAUCCGGUAAGAAAUUUCGUGGCAAGAAAGUGUUAGUUGUGGGAUGUGGAAAUUCCGGCAUGGAAAUUUCUCUUGAUCUUUGCAACCACAAUGCCUCUCCAUCAAUUGUGGUUCGAAGCACGGUACAUGUAUUGCCUAGAGAAAUUUUUGGCAAAUCAACCUUUGAAUUGGCUGUUAUGUUAAUGAGAUGGCUACCAAUUUGGCUGGUUGAUAAGCUUUUGUUGCUUUUGGCAUGGAUAUUACUUGGAAACAUUCAGAAAUAUGGGCUGAAGAGGCCAUCCAUGGGUCCAUUGCAGGUUAAGAACAUCAUGGGAAAGACACCUGUAUUGGACAUUGGUGCAUUGAAGAAAAUCAGAUCUGGAGAUAUUAAGGUGGUUCCUGGAAUCAAAAGGUUUUCUCGUGGACAAGUUGAACUUGUUAAUGGUGAAACCCUUGAUAUUGAUUCAAUUGUUUUGGCUACUGGAUACCGCAGCAAUGUCCCUUCUUGGCUUCAGGAAGGCGAAUUCUUCUCCAAGAAUGGGUUCCCAAAGGCACCAUUCCCUAAUGGAUGGAAAGGAAAUGCUGGGCUCUAUGCAGUUGGGUUCACAAGGAGAGGGCUCUCUGGUGCAUCCUGUGAUGCCAUGAGAAUAGCACAAGACAUUGGCAAGGUCUGGAAGGAUGAAACUAAGCAGCAUAAGAAUAGCACAAGAU
rnacentral:misc_RNA from 1 species